rnacentral:rRNA from 1 species
UACGUAGGGGGCAAGCGUUGUCCGGAAUCAUUGGGCGUAAAGAGCGUGUAGGCGGCCCGAUAAGUCCGCCGUGAAAGUCCAGGGCUCAACCCUGGAAUGCCGGUGGAAACUGUCGGGCUGGGGUCCGGAAGAGGCGAGUGGAAUUCCUGGUGUAGCGGUGAAAUGCGCAGAUAUCAGGAGGAACACCAAUGGCGAAGGCAGCUCGCUGGGACGGUACUGACGCUGAGACGCGAAAGCGUGGGGAGCAAACAGG